rnacentral:misc_RNA from 1 species
AAAUGCGAUAAGUAAUGUGAAUUGCAGAAUUCAGUGAAUCAUCGAAUCUUUGAACGCACAUUGCGCCCGCCAGUAUUCUGGCGGGCAUGCCUGUUCGAGCGUCAUUACAACCCUCAGGCCCCCCGGGCCUGGCGUUGGGGAUCGGCGGAAGCCCCCUGCGGGCACAACGCCGUCCCCCAAAUACAGUGGCGGUCCCGCCGCAGCUUCCAUUGCGUAGUAGCUAACACCUCGCAACUGGAGAGCGGCGCGGCCACGCCGUAAAACACCCAACUUCUGAAUGUUGACCUCGAAUCAGGUAGGAAUACCCGCUGAACUUAAGC